UACGGAGGGUGCUAGCGUUGUUCGGAAUUACUGGGCGUAAAGCGCGUGUAGGCGGCCCGCUAAGUCUGAUGUGAAAGCCCGGGGCUCACCCCCGGAAGUGCAUUGGAGACUGGCGGCUCGAGUCCCGGAGAGGAGGGUGGAAUUCCUGGUGUAGCGGUGAAAUGCGUAGAUAUCAGGAGGAACACCGGUGGCGAAGGCGGCCCUCUGGACGGUGACUGACGCUGAGACACGAAAGCGUGGGUAGCAAACAGG
rnacentral:rRNA from 1 species